GUUACGCCGGUAGCAACGUACCUGGUGGUGCUCUUAAAGAAGUUGUUGCUUUCACGGUUCAUUAGCUCGCUACGGAACCGUGACAUCUCGUCCUCCAUCUUUCUCAUCUCGGCGUCGAACCGUUCCCGUAUGUUCGAAAACUCGGUGUCGAUCACGCUGAAGUCACCGAGCUUGAUGGGAAUAUUACGCUUGAUACCACUGUCAGCCAUGAUUCUCUUCUCUUCGACCGCACUCGUGUCUCUUUCACCAAGCCACUAAAGAGGUAUAAUAAUAAGCACUGCUCUCGCUCUUGCUCUCUCUCUCUCUCUCUUUUCCUCUUCCCCUUCUCUAUCCUGGUUCUCUUCUAUCUCUAUCUAGCUGCCUGUUUCGCGAACGAUCGCUUCUUAUGAUAGCGAGAUACUUGAAGCCACGUAUAGAACCGUACUGUGCGAUGCCUCGCCUAAGAAUGAGCGCGGCUCACCGGCUGCUCCUUAAAUAGUCCCGACGCAAUCGUCGAACGGCUCGUGGGAGUUCGCCGGCGCUCGGCCGUCCUCGGGCAACCUCGCGGCCGUGCACGCGGUCCAAACCGGCCCCGGCGCUUCAGCCGCGUUUCGUUGGCUCUGCGCGAAAUUUUGUUUCAUGGAAUUAAAUAUGUAUUUCUGACUUGCUGGACGAACGCGGCGAACGAGUGCGUGCACCUCCCGCGAAUAACGAAAGCAUGGAGGGUAGCAUCUGUGGAGAUCGUAAUAAAACAUAACGAAGAUCUCCGUCGGCAACUGGGUCACCACGGUAAUUCAGGUCCAAUCAUUUUCUUCGCGGACGUUGCUGCCUCCAGAAAGCCCCUGAUGCGCUGUGUAAUCUAAUUAACCGAUUGAUAUCGUGGAAAUUUGAUUGCCCGUGAUUAAGUCCUGUUAACGGAUUCCAACGGCUAACAGGCUAUGUCGGGUGCAUACGUGUAUUCAUCUUCGUGGGAGACAAUCAAUAAGGAAAUGAUCGCGCGGCGUAUUAGUCAUCGUCUCCCGCGCAAAGCACAAUGCUUCCUCGUGCCUACGAAAUCGUAACCAACGUACGCCCACGAAUUCUUCUUGUCGGAGAUCACUUAUUUAUCUAGGAUGCCCGUAGGCUUGCGUACACUUCCGAACAGCUUGACCCGCAUUAAAUCAAGCUGCAAAUGAUGCCGACGCUAUUUUCGACGGUUGCAGCGUCACCGCGCGCCGAACUGAAUGGAGCGCCGCGUCACGACCGCCUCCUUAUUGUUCAUAAAUAGUCCUGCCGCCCGGCGUCCGUCCAUGAUUUCCGGUGAAUCAAACCGCGCGGAAUCAUUCCGCGCGUCGUACCGCGACCGGGGGUGGCGGAUGCCAGCAGGGGCUGAAUCACCCUUGCAGCUCGGAAUGGAUGAAUAACAAUCACCGCUCUGUACCGCGGCUUCUCUGCUCUGCCACGCGCCGACAAUUUCGACACGUAACUCGGCCGAGGAUUCUCGAAACAAUGGUCAUCUGCAUUCUUCUGCGUAGGGUAAUUCUGGACGAGAUGACUCUGCGGCGGUACACCGAAUCUUGCGCAAAGGCCUCAAUUGAUCGAAAAUAUUAGGAGUCAGGAAGCGAAGCUAGCCUUCGAGCGAUCUCCCUGAAGAACCGACUUUCAUGAUUACAUAUACAUUUCAGUUAAGUAUUAACGGUAUUUACGAUGCGAUAGCACCUUCAGAAGUGGGUCAUCCCUCUGCGAUUUACCUUAUCGGCGACGCGCGCUCGAAAGGUGUUUAUGUAUCAGUGUCCUGGGAAACGUGUACU